rnacentral:rRNA from 1 species
AAUAGAUACCCGGGUAGUCCACGCCGUAAACGAUGAGUGCUAAGUGUUAGAGGGUUUCCGCCCUUUAGUGCUGCAGCAAACGCAUUAAGCACUCCGCCUGGGGAGUACGGCCGCAAGGCUGAAACUCAAAGGAAUUGACGGGGGCCCGCACAAGCGGUGGAGCAUGUGGUUUAAUUCGAAGCAACGCGAAGAACCUUACCAGGUCUUGACAUCUCCUGACAACCCUAGAGAUAGGGCGUUCCCCUUCGGGGGACAGGAUGACAGGUGGUGCAUGGUUGUCGUCAGCUCGUGUCGUGAGAUGUUGGGUUAAGUCCCGCAACGAGCGCAACCCUUGAUCUUAGUUGCCAGCAUUCAGUUGGGCACUCUAAGGUGACUGCCGGUGACAAACCGGAGGAAGGUGGGGAUGACGUCAAAUCAUCAUGCCCCUUAUGACCUGGGCUACACACGUGCUACAAUGGAUGGUACAAAGGGCUGCAAGACCGCGAGGUUAAGCGAAUCCCAUAAAACCAUUCUCAGUUCGGAUUGCAGGCUG